CGGGUGAGUAACACGUAACCAAUCUACCUUACCGUCCGGGAUAACUAGCCGAAAGGUUAGCUAAUACCUGAUACGCCUAUUGAGCGGCAUCGCUUGAUAGUGAAAGCAGCAAUGCGCGGUUUGAGGAGGUUACGGCCCAUUAGCCAGUUGGCGGGGUAACGGCCCACCAAAGCAACGAUGGGUAGCUGGUCUGAGAGGACGACCAGCCACACUGGGACUGAGACACGGCCCAG
rnacentral:rRNA from 1 species